rnacentral:lncRNA from 1 species
CGGGCGCUGCAGAUCAGCCACCUCCGAAGGCUGCUGAGGCAGGAGAGUGGGCUGGGGAGGGGAGCGCCAGCAAUUAAAUACGGCACCGGAAGUGACGCAUUACGUCCGUCACAUUUCAUUAGCCAAAGCAAGUCACGUAGCCAAGCCUGUUCUCGGGAGAGGAGGAAGUGAAUCCUCCAGCCGCCUGAAAGUGGCGGGAGUCUGAUGUAGGUGAAGAGUGAUCAUGCCCGGCACACGCUGCACAACUGAGAUCACAUCGUGUAUAGGGGGAACUGUGUGCAGGUAGCGGAGGUCCAGGGCCCAGGUCGUUGCAUGCCAUCGCUCCGAAACGCCUCCCCUCCCCCUCCAGGCCGACACGGGACAGGCAGGUCCUGUCGUUCCUUCUUGGGAGAGCUUGGCAGUUCCGUGGUGUUGUUCCCUCCAGAAGUAACACGUCUGGAAGUGAGGCCAUGAGAACCUGCUGAACAACUGCCGGCUUCACAACUGCACAUGUGGGGUGCGGCUGCACGCGGCUCUGCUGGGGCCGCCUUGCGCAGACAGUCAGCCGGUGGUGUGAACGUGCAGUGUUAAAAGUGACACCAGAGUGGUGGAGGCGUCACCGUCAGCUGUUGCAUGAGAUGACACCCGGCCUGCAGGGUUGGGUGAGAGCUCAGGAGCCGCAGCCCCUCCUUGCCUGGGUCCCAAGAUCCCGGCACCGGCGGGAAGGGGUCCAGGAAGAAGCGAGCACGUCCCAGGCAUGCAAAAUGGAGAAAAAACUGAGACCCAGAGGGCCUACCCAGCUUCCCCUGGAGGCAGAGCUGCAACUGGAACUAAGAUCGUCCAGCCGGGUGCAUUCUGCAGGAAGACCUGUCUGCAUUUCUCUCACAGGCUAGGGAUGUAGGUGUAAGAGCUGACCUGUGUCCAGCAUCAGCUGGGGGCGGGACCAUGAUUCAGUGUAAAGUAAAACUCAAGAACAUUCACUCCCUUGGGUGCAAAAUAAAACAUCGCCUCGAGCUUUACAGUUUACAAAACACUCUCCUGUUAUUUAUCUCAUUUUCUCCUCACAACAACCCUGUGACAAACACAUUGUUACUACCCUUUUUCAGUUUAGGAAACUGAGGCACAGAGAGAGACUGCUCUGCGUUCAUAGAGCUCGUUAGGGAUAGGAUGGAGCCCAGGUGGGCUGAUCCCACUUCCAGGCAUUCUUCUAUCCCACAAGCGAUCCAAAUAUCGGCUCACUUGCUUGUUCUAUCCCGUUUCUUCUUCCGAA